rnacentral:rRNA from 1 species
UACGUAGGUGGCAAGCGUUGUCCGGAUUUACUGGGCGUAAAGGAUGCGUAGGCGGACAUUUAAGUCAGAUGUGAAAUACCCGAGCUUAACUUGGGUGCUGCAUUUGAAACUGGGUGUCUAGAGUGCAGGAGAGGUAAGUGGAAUUCCUAGUGUAGCGGUGAAAUGCGUAGAGAUUAGGAAGAACACCAGUGGCGAAGGCGACUUACUGGACUGUAACUGACGCUGAGACACGAAAGCGUGGGUAGCAAACAGG